rnacentral:lncRNA from 1 species
CUUUGGAGCACGUUAACCCAUUUGCAUCUGCCUUUGCGUCGUAACGCUGUGGACGAUGUUGCUGUUGUAGAAGAGGCACAGCAGCUGUUCUCGACUGAUCGUUCCCGCUCUGUAGUGAAACACGAGGCGUAAAAGUUGAACUGGCAAUACCUCCUUCAGAUUCCAUCAGAGUAAAACCAAAAGAAUUGUUAAAAUGGAUACAAUUUGUUUAACUUCUUCACCCGGCCAACCUUUCCAGUAGAUUUCUUUGAACAAUCAAUACCAUAAAUCGAAAUCGAUUUGUUUUAGCGGCGCAUGGUGAAAAUCACUGGCGAUUGAAUGGCGUGGCACAGCGGCGCUUGAUGAUGUUGAUAUCGUUCACGUCGAAACUAACGACGGCUUCCGUUGUGCCUAUCAUCCCGUUGAUUGUUACACUUAUUGAUGUAGCCUUCGCCCCGUCUGCUGAAACUAACAUAACACAAUUUGGCGCACUAAAAGAAAAAUCCUUUUCCCUUUUUUUUUUUUCUGUGCUCGUCGAUGCAACCCGGACAGAAGCGUCCCCCUACCAUAUCCCGAGAGUUGCAGCCGACUGAGCUCUGCCCUAGCGGGCCGCCAAAUAGUCGUGUAAAGAAUGCUACUCUUGUAGCAGAAAAAAAAAAAGGGGGCAAACUGUUUUAUUACACACACCCACAUAACUCACCCAGGGAGUAGAGGGGAUGGUUUUUAAGAGAGAGGAAAAUGUUAAGAAACCUGAGCUGGAGGAUCGACGUUGCCAUGUGCCUUUUUUUGUUUUUUUCCUCUCCAUUUCUCGUUUGAAAAUAGACAUCAAAUCAUGAAAUAAAUACCGUGAAGGUAUUGAAUAAAAGUGGGCUAAAAAUACGAAGGGAGAAAUGUAUUGUUGUACGCCUUUUCCUUACUUUUUUUAUUUGGAAAUUGAUUUUUUUCUUUUUAGAAAGACUUUGUUUCGCUUUCCAAAGGAUUCGUUUUCUAUUCAAUGAAGCCAAAUAAUUGGUCGAGCUAUUUAAACUUUUUUUUUAUUAUUAUUAAAGUAAAAGAAAAAUUCAAUGCAAAUCGUCCCCUGCGGAUUUCAAUUUCACGUUUUUGACGAUAAGACAGAUAGCAAUGUAGUACCUAAUGAAGGCAUCGCCGUGGCAUCUGUCAUAUCCUAUUGUGAAGACAAUGGUAGAGACAACACAAUCAUCUCCGUAUGGUAGAGAAGCUCCUCACUCAUCUACUGCCCCUGGAUGACCACUGUUGUACAAGAUAGAUGGAAAGAAUAACAAUUAGAAUUAGAACUAACCUCGAAAGUGUAGCUCUAAGGAAUUUGUAUGGGUAAGGUGAAGAGUCCACGUUAGAACCUAGAAGCGUAGUUGACUACAGAAGCUAAUGGCAAGGACAAGGUGAAAUAUUUAAGGACAAGGUGAAAUAUUUUUCAUUCUACAACUUAAGGCACCUUCCCGACCUUGUUAAGAAGAAAAGAAAAAAAACAACAAAAACAUAAGGUAAUUUUUUAAGUUACUUUAAGUCAAUUAUUAUGGAUACUCAUUUCUUACAAGAAAUCGCUCACCUAAUUCAGGAUAUCGCAGCCUCAGGACUUAAAUCUUGAAAUAAAAAGUCUGAACCUUUGGCUAGGUAGUUCCAACGAACUCAUCUGCUAGGGGCUAGUUGCAUAUUUCACAGCAACUUCAACAUUAAUUUGUGGAUUGGAUUGUAUAUGAUCCAAAUACUCGUAAUUGCUCUAGGGUGACUAAUCCAUCAACACAAAGAAACCU